rnacentral:rRNA from 1 species
AGCGAACGCUGGCGGCAGGCCUAACACAUGCAAGUCGAACGAACCCUUCGGGGUUAGUGGCGGACGGGUGAGUAACACGUGGGAACGUGCCUUUAGGUUCGGAAUAACUCAGGGAAACUUGUGCUAAUACCGAAUGUGCCCUUCGGGGGAAAGAUUAAUCGCCUUUAGAGCGGCCCGCGUCUGAUUAGCUAGUUGGUGAGGUAAUGGCUCACCAAGGCGACGAUCAGUAGCUGGUCUGAGAGGAUGACCAGCCACAUUGGGACUGAGACACGGCCCAAACUCCUACGGGAGGCAGCAGUGGGGAAUCUUGCGCAAUGGGCGAAAGCCUGACGCAGCCAUGCCGCGUGGAUGAUGAAGGUCUUAGGAUUGUAAAAUCCUUUCACCGGUGAAGAUAAUGACUGUAGCCGGAGAAGAAGCCCCGGCUAACUUCGUGCCAGCAGCCGCGGUAACAC